GUACCGACUCUGAUAAUGUAUCCCGAGUGAGCCAUGUUUUGUGAAACAGAGAAUGUUACAAUCUCUGAUGUCUCUCCGGUAGGCAACCCUUGCUCGGAUUUCGUCUACCUUGUUGUCAAGAGACUGGACAUUGGCAAUUAGUUUACUCGAGAGCGGUGGGCGAUGUACCCGUCUACGGAGCCUGGCCAGAAGACCGCUCCGUCUGCCCGUUCUGCGGCGCCUUUGUAUUGGGUCGCCUGCUGGGAUCCAAUCCAUUGUCCUGGGUGGUGGACCAAACAGAGGAUACACUUCGGGAAAGUCGUAUUCCUGGUCAUAAUGUUGGCCAAGAUAGAAGUGUGGAGACACCGGAGGGAUGGUGAAAGGCCAUUUUCACAAAGCCACAGGUCUGCUAUGCCAACUUGUCAUGCUUAUAUUGAGCAAGCAUGCAGGAAUGCAUGGUGGCAUUCACAGCUAUGUCAAACUUCGAAUGCUUUGGACAGGCAAUGUAAGUGAUGGAAAUGACUUUUCACGGACUUCAUUGCAAAAUUGAAUUUUGUUGAGGAUAAAAAGGCACCUCAAAGGUUGUCUUGAAAAUGUGAAUUCAUUGAGUUAUCCUGUCAUCGGCACCACUUUUUGUCAUUGCCAUUUAAUAGCUCAAAUACCUAUGUACUUCUCUGUGUUGCAGGCACGUUAAGCUUCGGUCCAGUUAGUGUUAGAAAUACAAGGUGAGCACUUGUAGAUUCCAAUAGGUAAUGUACAUUUCAGGACUUAUACCACACAUUAUUUUUUAUGUUUGUAUGCAAAGGAUCAAGUUGCACAAUUGACAAAAAAAUAGCACAAAGGAAGAACACUUUAGGAUUCUGAUUAUAAUGCAAUCAAUACUCAAUUACCUGUGAAGUACUGUGGGACCUCUGGUGCCCUCACUGGUUCAGUGCUUCUCUAAGGUCGUCAUCCACCUCUAUGAUUUAUGGGCCCUGCUCUUGAACCUUGCUUGGAAAACAAAUUAACUGCAGUGAUGUCACAUCUUCCUGCCAGUGAUCAACAUUAAAAUGUCCUUUUUAGAAGGAGGAAAUAUACAUCACUUUUAUGGAGUACUAACAAUGAAAUCACUUUUAUCCGAUUCUUUUUAGCUUUCUAUCUAAAUUGUUGCAAGUGUAAUAAAAAGUUGGACAUAGAUGCAUUUUAAGGUGAGCAUUUGUAAUGGAAAUAUUUUAGGCUGAAAGUCUGCAUCACCUUUAAUAUGUACCCAGUGGUGUAAAGUACUUAAGUAAAAAUACUUUCAAGUACUACUUAAGUCGUUUUUUGAGGUAUCUGUAGUUUACUAUUUAUAUUUUUGUCAACUUUUACUCCACUACAUUCCUAAAGAAAAUAAUGUAUUUUCUACUCCAUACAUUUUCCCUGACACCCAAAAGCACUCAUUAUAUUUUGAAUGCUUAGCAGGACAGGAAUAUUGUCUAAUUCAUGGGCUUAAAGAGAAAAUCCCUGGUCAUUGUUUAUUGUAUGAUCAACGUUACUGUUUCCUUCAUUCUUAUCUAAAUUGAUGCUUACAGUUGUAUUUUAGCACCAUCUCCAGAGCAUAAUGUGUAUUGCAUGUUGUUGUCCCACACAAUAACCUCUGAUAUUGAAUGUGCAAUCUAGAACUUCAAUUCCCAGUAAAAAAGAAAGUGUUGCACUUGCCCAGUGACGUCUACCAACACUUUGGAAGACACAAACCGAAGCACAAGUGCACCUGUUGGUUUAAAUUUUAAAAAGUCAGAUUGUGUUUGUACCUUCUCCUUGCCACAGAGGACUCAUACGGCAAAUAGGUUACUUUAACCAAUUUUUUUUUUUUUAAGUUUACAAUAGACAUUUGCUUUAUUUAUAAACAGAUACAAGCAGCCAAAACAUUAACAGGCACUUAGUAUGCAUGACUGACAACAUCUUGAAGUGUAAAAUAUAAAAAAUGGAAGUAAAAGGAUACCAUAAAUGUUAAUGCAUAUAGAUGUAUUUUUGAACUACUCUACUACAUGCUAUGGGCACUGAAAAUAAGUUGUACAGUAAUUGUAUUAUUACAAGGCAAUUGUUUUUUUUAAAUCACUGGAUAGCUCUUGUAAGCUUUGGCAUGAUAGAUGUUGAGAAUUGUCAGACAAAAUUUGAACAAUUUUGUCUAUCUAUACACAUUUCAACACAGCAUUAAAUUUGCCGGUAUACAUCAAUAUCGUUUCCCGUACAUACAGUAGCUAGCGUGUUUUUGACACUAACAUAUUUUCUGAAACUAAGAUCAUUAUAUAAGCCUCAAUAUUAACAUUUCUUCUGUUUAGUAUGCAUCUUAAAUUCUAACAAACAUCUAAAAACAAUUCCAUCAACUUAUGAAAUGUAUGAUGUAUUAUAACACUACCAAGAAUUUGCAACAAUGAAACCAUCUUAAAUAACAACCCUGAGAGCAAUGCAUAGACAGCUAAUACAUCAGGUGAGUGGUUACGACUUAUAUUACACAUACACAAUCCUAUUGGAAAAGUUUAAAAAAAAUUACAUUUACUCAUGUUAUAAUUAGUGUGUUGUGCAAGGUAAGUUAAAGCUAAGACCUUGAAGGUGCAAAGUAUCUUUCCUGUUAAAAAACCUAGAAAUGAAAGUCUGUCACAUACGACUGUGCCAGUGUUGAAAUGACGGGUCCUAAUACUCUUGUUGUAGGUCUACAGAGAAGUUCUGUAUUCUUUCCACCAUGAAGAAGCAGAGUGUUCCAGUGAAACCCAGGAUGACCAUAAUGAGCAGUUGCCAUGUCAACAGCAAGUAGCCACUGUAGAAGAAGGCAACUGCUGCAAAAAUGGACUGGCAAAGGAAAGAAGAAAACAAAAACAUGUUGAAAGUAAAACAAAGAGUUGACUUUGUGUUACUACUCUGUCACAGUAAUGUAUGAAUUGUGUCUUAGAUUGUGAGUUCUUACAGAAUACUAAUGUAAUAAAAGAAUUGGUACAUACAGCUA